rnacentral:rRNA from 1 species
UACGGAGGGGGCUAGCGUUGUUCGGAAUUACUGGGCGUAAAGAGCGCGCAGGCGGUCGUUUAAGUCGAAUGUGAAAGCCCCCGGCUCAACUGGGGAGGGUCAUUCGAUACUGAUCGACUUGAAGGCAGGAGAGGGAAGUGGAAUUCCGGGUGUAGUGGUGAAAUGCGUAGAUAUCCGGAGGAACACCAGUGGCGAAGGCGACUUCCUGGCCUGUUCUUGACGCUGAGGCGCGAAAGCUGGGGGAGCAAACGGG